AGAGUUUGAUCAUGGCUCAGGAUGAACGCUGGCGGCAUGCCUAACACAUGCAAGUCGAACGGACCUUUAUUUUGAGAGUUCCUUUAUAGAAAUUCUCAAAAAUACUGGUUAGUGGCGGACGGGUGAGUAACACGUUGGUACCUACCCUCUAGUGGGGAAUAACUUCGAGACAUCGAGGCUAAUACCGCAUGUGGUCUACGGAUCAAAGCAGUAAUGCGCUAGAGGAGGGGCCUGCGUCUGAUUAGCUUGUUGGUGAGGUAAAAGCUCACCAAGGCGACGAUCAGUAGCUGGAUCGAGAGGUUGACCAGCCACACUGGGACUGAGAUACGGCCCAGACUCCUACGGGAGGCAGCAGUGAGGAAUCUUCCACAAUGGACGAAAGUCUGAUGGAGCAAUGCCGCGUGCAGGAUGACGGCCUUCGGGUUGUAAACUGCUUUUAUAUGGGAAGAUUAUGACGGUACCAUAUGAAUAAGGACCGGCUAACUACGUG
rnacentral:rRNA from 1 species